CCAGACGGCCGGGCGAUCGCGGGCGCAAGCUCGAGGAAAGUCCGGGCUCCACGACGACAUGGCGGCGGGUAACGCCCGCCGGGGGCGACCCCAGGGAUAGCGCCACAGAAAGCAAACCGCCCUCCGAAGUCUCGGCGGAGGAGGGUAAGGGUGAAAGGGUGCGGUAAGAGCGCACCGCGUGCCUGGUGACAGGGACGGCACGGCAAGCCCCGCCAGGAGCAAGACCGAAUAGGGAUCCCGCGUCCCCAGCAAUGGGGGCAAGGCUGUCGCCGGCCCAGGGAUCCGGGUAGGUCGCGAGAACCGGCCCGCGAGGGUCGGUCCAGAGGAAUGAUCGCCGCGCCGAGGCAACUCGGUUGGCACAGAACCCGGCUUACAGGCCGUCUGGUCCG
rnacentral:RNase_P_RNA from 1 species